rnacentral:rRNA from 1 species
AUUGAACGCUGGCGGCAUGCUUUACACAUGCAAGUCGAACGGUAACAGGCCUUCGGGUGCUGACGAGUGGCGAACGGGUGAGUAAUGCAUCGGAACGUGCCCAAUCGUGGGGGAUAACGUAGCGAAAGUUACGCUAAUACCGCAUAAGCCCUGAGGGGGAAAGCAGGGGAUCGCAAGACCUUGCGCGAAUGGAGCGGCCGAUGUCAGAUUAGCUAGUUGGUGGGGUAAAGGCCUACCAAGGCGACGAUCUGUAGCGGGUCUGAGAGGAUGAUCCGCCACACUGGGACUGAGACACGGCCCAGACUCCUACGGGAGGCAGCAGUGGGGAAUUUUGGACAAUGGGCGCAAGCCUGAUCCAGCCAUGCCGCGUGCGGGACGAAGGCCUUCGGUUGU